rnacentral:lncRNA from 1 species
CACACACACACACACACACACAUACACUGUCUUUGCGCAACGUUUUCCUUGUGCUCUUUAACACACACACACACACACACACACACACACACACACACACACACACACACACACACACACACACACACACACACAUGCAACCUCAGGUGGAACGGGUGCUUGCGGGCGCCGACCGUUGGUACUUUGACGCAUGGAAGCUGGCGGAGGUGGCGCAGGCAAGUCGGCAGCCGCCGUCCUAUAGCCAGCCGGGACCACCGCCGUGACGUACGAUCCGCGCGCGGCCUCCACUUGAACCUGCUGCACACGCACCUGUUCUCAUGGCGUUGGGCUUACACGGCUUCCGCAUGAUCUGGCCAGCCAUUGCCGGCAGCUGAGUUGUGCUCGGCCGCCCUCCCGCACACCUCGCUGGUCACACGCACGCGUAGGGACAUGCGCUGAGCGCUCUGGGCUACUACCUCAUUCAACGGGAGGGGCUGAUUGACAAGUUCCGACUCAAGCCCGUCAUGCUGGCCAGGUAUGGCCGUACGAGCUAACGUUCUUGUGUGUGCCAACGCGAUGCCCUAUCAGGCUGAUGCAGUCGGAGGUGCUGGUCGGGCAGGGCCUCGUGGUGUUGUGUUGUGGUUGUGUCGGUGCCCUCUCGUGGCCUUGCCUUGACGGGGUGGCCUUACUUGUGCCGCGCCCGCUGCACAGGCUCUUGCGCACCAUCGAAUCCGGGUACAACCCAGACAACCCCUACCACAACGCCACGCACGCGGCCGACGUGCUGCAGACGCUGCACGUGAUCAUCCACGGCGCCGGGCUGCACGCAGGUGGGAGCGUGAGAAGCGCGUGCCACCGCGUUACGGAGUUCUGGUGCGCCCUGCGAACAAUCCAGUGCGGACGCUUUCUUGUCGCGUCGUUACGAUGAUCUGGGAGCCAAGCUACUCACUACGCAAUUGUCGACUUGUGUACCGUAUGUGUGUGUAGGCUACCUGGAUCGGCUAGGCCUGCUGGCCGCCUAUUUUGCGGCCAUGGUGCACGACCACGGCCACCCCGGCCUCACCAACGACUUCCUCAUCGCCACCGGGGACGUGCUGGCGGUGCGCUACAACGACAAGAGCCCGCUGGAGAACCACCACGCCGCCUCCGCCUUCGCGCUGCUGCAGCGACACGACCUGGACCUGCUGGGCCACCUGCCGCAGCAGGACCGCGCCGCCUUCCGGAAGCAGGUGCGCGUGGGGGUUGUAACUACCAGCCCAAACUGAACCAAACUAAGCCAAACUAGCGGAGCACAGGCAGCGGCGACAGGGUUAUGUAAGUGGUUGAGCGGUUGGGUGGGCGGUUGAGGUAGUUGGGAGGGUGGGCGUGGGUGUGGGUGCAUUGGUUGUGGGGAUAGCGGGCCAACAUCUUGGGCAGCUCCCGUUAAGGGGAUGCCGGAUGGUGUGUAUGGCACACAGCGUGCUGGGACACAGGAAGGGCGGGGUUAUGAGGCAGGCCCGGGGAGCAUGUGGUGGUAUUGAUUGAUCACGCUGUGCCUUCGUGACUGAUGGUGUUGCCGCAGGUGAUCGAGAUGGUCGUGGGCACGGACAUGAAGCAGCACUUCACCAUCCUGUCGCACUUCAACACCGCCCACCGCCUGCCCAGCUACGCGGCGCAGUCCGCCGCCGUGCCGGCGGGCAGCGGCGCCGCCAGCGCGGCGUCCACCCCCACGCGCGAAGGCCCGGAGCUCUCACCUCCCAGGUGUGACCCCUGCAUGCCCUCACUCACAGCACCAUCGCACUCCACUCUCGCCCUAUUUUUGCACACAGCCGCACGCAUACACUUGCACGCAUUCGCACAUACAGUUUCGAUCCCACCACCUUGUCCUUUCCUUAUAUACACGCACGCUCAAUCGCCCACACACAACAGUGAGCUGGCAUCGGGAGCCACAGCUGCCGCCGGGUCUCUGAGCGCCAGCCCCACCGCCGCCGUGUCCACCGCCCAGCCGCCACCUGGGUCGGCGCCGUCACCCUUGGACGAGGCGGAGCGGCUGCUGACUCUGCAGGUGGCGCUCAAGGCCGCGGACGUGGGACACCUGGGCGAGGAGCUGUGCGUGCAUGAGAGGUGCGCGAGGGGGAGGCGGGCGGUGGGCAGGCGGAGGGUGUGGGGCGGGAAGGAAGAGGAGGUGCAUGGGAGGGGCGCAGGGCGCAGGGCGCGUCAUGAUGCAUGCGACACACGGGCAGCGAUGACGGAAAGCUGAAGACACGUGAUGGUGGGUUGUGGUUGCAGGUGGUUGGGUGUGCUGGAGGAGGAGUUCUUCCGCCAGGGCGACAAGGAGAAAGCUCUGGGACUUCCAAUGAGUCCACUUUUCGACCGCGCCAAGCAGGGCGUCAGCAAGAGCCAAGUGGUGAGUGACACAUGCCACAUGCUACUGUCUAUCACAGAUUUCUAGGUGGUGAGUUAGCCACACCCAGCAGCCCACGCACUCAUCCACGUCCGCAACAUGACCAUGGUCUGGUUGUCAAGGUGGUGCGGGAACAUGUGUGACUACAAUCGAUCUACCUGUAUUAUUGUUAGUGGACGUGCUCAUGCACAUGCGCACACGCCUCCUAACACAACGCGCCUGCUGGCUAUCACAAACUUCCAUCUGCAGGGCUUCUACGACUUCGUAGCGCUGCCUCUGGUGCAUGCGCUGGCGAGCGCAUUCCCGGGUGCGCGGCCGUUGCUGACCGCGUUCCGACGUAACUACGGCCACUGGCGGGCGGUUGAGACAGCGGCCAGCAACUCUGGCAAGUAGUGACUCCCGCCGGGGUCGCAAGCAACCGGUUAGGAUCACGGCUGCCGCCUGGCGCUGGGGGCCAUUUCGUGAUGGUGGUGGGAUUCGGUUGUGUAGUCAACCGCUCUUUGGGUAUCUAGGGAUGAGGGAGGGUCGCAUUGCGCCAUCCGUGGCAGUGGGAUGCGGCAUUUGGUGCCUGAGGGCCAUGCGGGCGCCUUUGGGGAACUGCGGGGUUACUUCUAUUACUCACCAGUCCGCCUGUGAUUCGGGGUGUUUUGAUUUUAGGGUGAAGGGCGGCGUGCGUUGAAAGACGCACAGCAAUUCAGCCACCGCUGAUGCUGCCAGGUUGGCAACAUAAAAUACUAAUGGCAGCAUAAUGAACAAUGCAUUUGAAGUCCUCGACAGGAGAUUCUUCCACGCUUUCAAUGAGGGAUGGUUGUCAUGUGUAGUGGACGUGGCCAUGCAUGUGUUGAACAAAUUCUUUACAGUCGAUGCGCGUGUAUGCUUUGUCCCUGUUGGGUGCCCGCAUGGACGUGGACAUCACGAGUCAUGAGUCGAGGCAGAAGGCACGCAGUAUGUGCGGACGCGCAUGAGGAAGGAUGAAGAGCACGCAUUGCGCAUCGCUCGACUGAGAUUGAUGCCGCAGCCAAUGUUGAAACAUGCUGAACCUAAACAGACGGCGUCCCCAAUCAUGCCCUCUUGCGGUACUAGUGGAGGCAUGGGCCGUGCACGGUUGGUCCAGGGAUGGCGCAAAAAUGUGCAUGGCUUGUGGGUGGCAAUAGGCGGGGAGGGCAUGGUGCUUCACUGCCCCACUCUGUCCUUCAAUUGACGCGGGUCCACGGAAUGUAGCCGACUGCAAUGGGUACGCGGUGAUUGUGAGACUGCUGAUAGCAGCAUGGGUCUCUUCAUGACGGCGUGUGGCGCUGUUGUAUGUGGUGACGGGAAGCUGACGCUGGUGGGGUUUGGCUAUUGGUCGGGGCUGGGGCUGGGUGGCACGGCCCUUGCCUCGUGUGAUGCGCAGUGCUGAAGGGCAGGGUAGUAUGGACUGGGCAGGGGGUGGUAUGGACUGGGCAGGGGGUAGUAUGGACUGGGCAGGGGGUGGUAUGCGUAGUAUGCUGCACCGCACAUCAAAGCGCGUGGCAGCACGAAAGAGUUGUGAAAAGAGGCCAUGUGGGGUUCACCUCAACAGUUUUGAUCACAAGUCGCUCUGCACCGCUUGCCAAGGUGGUGGUGGUAGUGCGUUCCGCUUAUGCGUGGUGUCACGGGUGUAGAGGACCACUGAGCAGUGUGGUGAAAUAUGCACUGGUGUGCCCUGCAGGUGCGGGCAGCAGCUUGCUGCAGGGUGCACCUCCAGAACACCGUUUGGGCGGGCCGACGUGGGUGAGGUGUACCCUGGAUGCUGUAGGGCGUUGGCCUGAACGGCGCUUAGAACGCAACUGUACAGCAUGGCAGUGCCGCAACGGGUGAUGUGGGUACAAUGAUAAAUGUCAAUCAGUUAUGGGUGUUUGGUCGGUGCUAAUUGGCGUCCCUCGUAACGGCGCUGGUGACCAUGAAAGCCAGUGCGUUUGCUCCUUGCCUAGUUGCCUGCACUUGGUAGGCUACAAGCACGCCCGUGAACCCGUCCGUGUGCUCACUGUGGCUGCGCGGCAGGCGGCUGAGUAAAGCCUGAUGGGGGCUGAGGAGCACAUCUUGUGCCGUGCGUCAUGAGGAGUAGUACGAUAAACAGCUGAAUAACAUGGUGAAUGCCAGGAAGAUGGUGGGCCUGUGUGGUAAAGUCAUUGGAAUUGCCAGCUCGGGGAUGGAGGUCAGCCCGGUGCUGAUGGUGGCGCUGGAUGCGAUUCAUGUGCUGCUGGGGCCGUCGGAGCAGCGCGUGGUGAGCACUGGGGCUACCGUAUUGGGGAUCAGUUGAGAAGGAUGGGCGCGCGCUGCCGAUUGUUCACUCGCAUUGCCACUGUGGCGGUGGUGGCGUCAACAUAAUAUGCGCGCGUUGUCAAGGUAAACCUACCCCUCAGCCCCUGACACUAGCACUUGUUCCGAUGUAUCCGCUGCGUGGUUCUGCAGGACGGAUCUGAGCCGCCGCCGGCGCUGCAGGCGGUGGUGCGGCGGGAGUUGCGGCGGCUGGGCGCGCCGCGCCUGCUGGCGGACUGCGUGCGGGAGCUGCGGCUGCAACAGGCGGACGAGCAGGGCGAGGAGGGCCGGGCCCAGGAGGAGUGGGAGCGGGCGAGCGGGCGCACGGGCCACAGCGGGUAAUGGUCGCGUGCUUCCCGGAGCGGGAGCGGUGACGGGCUGUAACUAGCAGUGUCCUACCCCGCUGCGAAGCUGGGGCCCGCAGGUCCAUUGCUAGCUCCAACGCGACAGUCCCUGGCAGCAAGGACCUGACCAUUCCCAUCUCCAACUGCAGCGUGCCAGCCUCCUACGGCACGCGGUUAAUUUGCAUUUGUAGCUGAUCCUCAUAGCUAUGGUGCCGCAGGAGCCCAGGCGACAGGGUCACGGCCACCGCCGCCUGCCCCGCGAACACGUUCCACAACACAAAAGGCAACAUCACAGCAAGCCAAACCCUGUCCCCCGAAGUAACAGGAGAUGGGAGCUUGAAAGCCUGGGGCCGUGCCGUACGCACGCGUAGGCCCACGUUCUCGCCCACACAGCACGUCUGCUGGCUACCUCCAGAGAGCCAGCCGCAUGAUCACUACGACAUGAAUGUACCAGCAGCAGUUCGUUCCCGACCACCAUUCUUCUGCUGCCGCCGGCACAGGCCCCACACAUGAAUGCGCAACCCACUGACGCGCACUGGUACGGUACACACAGCCCCUGCGAUCCAGCCGCCUCCAGGCCAGCCGGCCCAUCCUCCUCGAACCAAUCACACCCGCAAUCGCACGGCAGUAGCAAGCACAUCUGGAGCUUUAGCCCCCGCCACCGCCCCCGCCACCGCCCCCGCCACCGCUGCGGCCGCCGCGCUGCAGCAGCGCUUACUGCUGCUCGCCGGCGGCGGCGCGGAUGACGUGGCGGUGGCUGGAGUCUGAGCCGCCGGUGGCGCCGCGGCGCACGGCAGCGGCCGCCGCCUCGGCCAGGCGGCUGGUGCCGGCGGCGGCGAGGUCGUCGGGGUCGUUGCGGUCCUUGAUGCCCCACAUGCCGCCGUGCAGCUUGCCGGUGCGCACGUCCUGCUCCAUCUGCCACUCGGGCUCGCCAUACCUGUGUUGUAAUUGGAAACAAACAGAGGUACAGAGUCGACAAGAGUGUAGGCGCACAAAUGCUCCAUUCCUUUCACAUGUUCACACACACAUGCCGCCACGCCCGCCGCCCGCCCGCCCUCACGCCCGCCCGCCCGCACCAGCAGUCGCCGCUCUCCAGCUGCAGGCUGUUGUCGCCGCGGCGCACGCGGAAGAAGCCGCGCUCACCCCAGUAGGUGCCCCUGCAGGCGGCAGGGGUGGAUAGCGGCACAGCACAGCACGUCAGCUAACAAGCGACGAAAACCCCGUGCAUGCACACACACACACACACACACACACACACACACACACACACACACACACACACACACGCACACACGCACGCACACAGGUGCGGUUGAGACACGGCUCUCACCAUCAAUGCAUUGCGAGCCUGAUGCUUUGCAUUGCGGGUCCCACACGACGAACCCUGUCGCUGGUGGGCCAGCCAGGCCAUCGCAGCAACAGCUCGCUAAGGACCCCGGCAACUCACCAGCUGUUGCGCACGAUCCAGUACUUCUCGCCGUCCUCCUCGCCCCAGCCCACAACCUCCACAUCUGCGCAGUCAAGAAGGCCACAGUGUAAGCGAGUGGCAUGUGCUGUUGCGCACGACCACUCCGCGUCGCCCCCCGGGCCGCCAUCCCACCACAUCCUUGCAACCCCCCCCCUCCGCCGCACCGUGGUCCAGCUCCGUGUCGCCGCUGGUGUCCUUGUAGAUGCCGCCGUUGUAGUGCCACGUGAAGUCUUCCGGGCACACCUGGCCGCACGUGAUGGGGCCGCGGUGGUAAAUCUCACUCAUCAUGGCCUGUGGUGGUCGGGGGAAUUAUGGGAGGGCGGAGCAGGGGGCCAGAGCGGUGAGGAAGGGCAGGGCAGGACGGGAGGCCGUGAGUUGCAGGCGUGAAGGCUCACAGGAAUUCCGGCGCACGCACUGUGUACUGUGUACCCGCAACUAGCUAUGCAACCACGCCUACCACCUCCAGCGCUCCACAACUACAAGAGUCAUGCGCAUUUCUCUGAAGCGCCCGCCACGCCACGCCACGCCACGCCACGCCGCGCCACGCACACGCCCCGCCUGCCUCACCUCCACGCCCUUGUCGACCUGGCCCCAGGCAGUGAGGUAGUAGCGGAUGGGGCGGUGGAUGGGCCAGCAGGUCUCCACGCCGUCCAGCGGCAUGCAGUUGUUGCACUCGCCAUGCGCGGGGCAGCGCUUGUGGCCGGGGAACUUGGUGUGGUCGGUGGCGUUGUAGGUCAUGCAGCCCUCGUCAGGCAGGCCGAAACUGCGGGGUGAUUGGUGGGUGGGUGAGUGGGUGGGUGAGUGGGUGGGUAGUGGGUCGGUUGGAAGGAGGGUACGCCUAGAUUACAACACGGAGGGGUGGACAAUAUGGGAUACACUGGGGCGGGGCGGCAGGAGGGGAGGGUGAGGGCCGCCCAAACCGUGACUCGCCUUCCCAAGGGCCGGGCCCCUGAGGGCCGCAGGGCCGGUUGUAAGGCAAGAUACCCCACGGCUGAGCGCACGCUAGGACCGUGCGCGUGCACGUGUGUAUUUGCUUCCGUGCCUGCGUUAGACAGCACAAGGCCUGCGCGUGUGUCAUGUGUGGCCCCGCCACCACUCGCCGCACACUCACUCGGUCAUGUACCCGAACACGUCCACCGUGUCGCCGCCGUCGCAGCCGUUGCCGUAGCCCUCGAACGCCGCGCAGUUGAGCAGCGUCUGGCGCGCCAGCAUCACAUCCGGCGUCUCACCCUUCUUCAUGAUCUUCAGGCUGCGCGAUGUGGUGUGCGAGCGUGCGUGCGGCAGGGAGAGAGGCAGGCUUGCGGUCAGCGCCGUCGAGGACGCCAAACGCGGACGCGAAUACGGUAUCGAGGCGUGCACGCGGCGCCAACCAUGCAGACGAAUGCCUGAGCUCCAGACUCAUGACAUCACAGACGCAGGACCGAAUCACUGGUUGCGCCCGUCUCCCAACGAAGCCUGCUGGAAAUUCACGCGCGUAACCCAACCCGGUUGUGGGAGAUGCGCCCCACCGGUCCUGGAUGGCCGACAAUGUGCCGUGCACCCAGCAAGAGCCGCAGUAGUAGGGGAUGUGCUGAUUCCAGUUGGCGACGCAGUAGCUGACGCCAUCCACGUUGCACUGCGCGGGUGGAGGGAGCGGCGGAGCCGCAGUGUGUAAAGGCGCGGGAAAGGGAAUAAAGGUGUGCGGAGCCCCGGGACCAGCACGUGUCCGCCGGUUUUAUCUCCCCGACUUCGCGGGCCCCGCCCCGCAAUCCCCAGCGCGCAAUUCUGUAUGCUUCCAUGACACAUAGGCGCGCACCCAGUUCCAGUUCUUUGGCAGCUCGUGCUCCUUCUUCAGCGGCGCCGGGACGUGGUUGAAAGACGUGCGCCGGCCCUCGCGGGGCUUUUGCAGACUCUUAUCGCGAGGACCAUGGCCCUGCCAGUUCUUGCCCGCGUCCACGCCCAGCAACGCGACACUCAGGCCAAUUGCCAACACUGCGAGCGCCCGGCAAAGUGGGCCGUGCAUUUUCAUGCCGGGUACUACUAAUAGGAUCACAGGCACACUAACAAAACAGUAUUCAGAAAGUACCCUACUGACGUAAAAUCCCGCCGAUUCUGGCCUCAACGGAUGACGGAUUGCCCGAGUCCGUGUCUUGGAACUAGUUAUGAUAAACACAAGUUAUAAGGCUCUAUGCCAGCAAACUAACAAACGUCGUCCGGAGUGCCGGAACCGACAACGUGCCAUACCCUUGCAUUCAGCACUCUGCCUCCAUAUGCCCCGUCACACACGCGUACACAGGUCCGGCCACACCUCUCCCUGGCCCUCUUCCUGGCCCUGAGGCCUGAGCAUGUGGAUGGAUGGUCGGUUUGGCAUGCCGGUGUUGGUCUUGUCGGCCGCACAGCCAGUGUUUAGGCCGCUUUUAGGCCUAUGGCGUGGGGGCCCCCUCCCCCGCGCUGCUGACUUGCACGAGCGGUACCUGGUGUUGUCCACGUGCCCACGCCGUGUUGGGCGAAUACGCUAACCUUCACUGUAUGGACGUGCAAGGACGUGCGGGGGCUAGGCGUCGGACCAUGCUGCUGAGGCCGUUAGGCCCAUCGAUGCUCGGGCACAUGGCGUCCAUUACCCCUUUGAAGUAGCCCGGAAAACGGGAGACACUGUCUAACGCUUCCACACCAUCAACUCUUUCCUCAGACUUUGGUUUCGAUCAAGUCCAAACUAGAAUGGCUCGACGAGCCUUGCACAUUACCGCUUUCGCGAUUUUGCUCACGUCUCUGCCGCUCUUAGCGAUCGCCGACCCUGAGGACAGCUAUGCAGAUCUGGCUGCUCGCGUGGUGCCGGCGAAAUUGCGGCAAGCCCUAAAGCUGCUGCCGUGCUUGACCGCGGACACGGGUGAGGCGCUCGGACCGGCGCUAGUGCGCUACUGUGCAGAGCUCGAGCCGGCAAGCUUUGGAGCGCCUGUGUGUGUACGUGGCUCGUAUCGGCUGUGGUGCCGCUUAAUUUGGGGGUUCCGGCGCGGGGGCUGCGGGGGCUGAAGGGGCGGUUAGGGUUUUCCCGACGGCAAACAGGCUACCCCUCCGGCCGCCUGCUAGCCGGGCCCGCCUACUCCAGCCUACACCAACAAGCCGGCAAUCCAACAUGAGCAAGCAUGCGUAUAUUGCCAUAGUUAUCUUGUUUGGACCAAGGACACAGAAAGCAGCUGACGAGGCGCCGCGUCAGCCUGCGAACCUCUGCCUGGCGCCGGGUUCCCCUACCACCGCCUGCCCCAACCAGUCCUGUCCUUCCCUCCUUCCUGCUCUCCGUGCGACGCGCUCCCCCCGCCACAAACAAACACGCACCUUGUGCUCUUUAGCACACAUACAGAGCCGCUGUCUGCUUGCGCAUACUUCACAUGCACUGAUACACUGUGUCGAACACUUGCCCUUCCACUUGUGCUUUCCUCUUUCCUACACACACACGCACACGUGUGUUCCAGGCCCCGGCGAGGUCAAGCCGCUGCGUGUGUCACUGCUGGAGGCGCGCGAGCAGCUGGACGUGUUCAGCUUCGCCUUCCCCAACCGCAUCCGAGACGCGGAGCCCCUGGCGUCCGCCGAGGUGCUCACCACCUGGGGUCGCGUCAAGGCCGCCAUCGGCGAGCUCCUGAGGGCCAUUGUCGACUGGAUCAACAAACACGUGAUCGACACAGGCGUCAGGGGGCUGGUGCGGCGCGGGGAGCCGCAGCAGCAGCAGCAGCAGCAGCAGCUGCAGGCCGCGGCUGACACGGCAUACCACCGGCACAAGGGGCGGGACCUGUGGCUGGACAUGCGUGCGGACCUGGAUGAGGGGUACGAGGUGCUGGGGGACUUCCAGGUGUGUGUGUGUGGGGGGGAUAAGGGGGGGAGGGGGGGGUGGAACGGCGCGGGUUGUGGGAGAUGAGGAAGGGCCACGAUUGACGCCAGUGCGCUGUUUGCCACGCCCUGUCACUACACGCCCAGUCACAUACGGUACCUGCUUCCACUGCAGCCACCUGGUGUCCGUCCGGUACUUAACGCCUGACUGGCUUCGGGUUUGUCUGAGUCAUGUCAGGCCUUGCAAACUCGUGCCCUGUCCGUCCCUUUCCCCUUAACUCAACCCCUCCUACACCCCCGGGUUCGGUUUAGUUUGGGCUGGAAUCUACAGCCCCCUUCUAACGCUUUCUUCACUGUUGGGACAUGUUUCGUUGGGAUCGGGCAAAUACCCCUUGCCCCGCGCUCUGUGGGCUGGUUCUGGGUUUUGGUUACUUUGGGACUGAAAUAAAGUAACCCUCCUUUUCCUGCCCCAGGACCUGGACCACUCGCUUGUGGAGUACAACCAGACUGACAUGGAGGUCAAACGGGCCGUGUGCCUGGACUGGCAGAGGCGCAUCAGCCGCCACAGCGCCACGUGAGGGCGGGGAGCGGGGAAGGGCGGGGAGGGGGAAAGGGUGGGGAGCGGAGUCUUGGGCCUUGGGUCUGCCCCGUGGCGGGUCCGUACGUGCCGCAUGGCUGCCGCGCUGUGUCUGGCGUAACCCAAACCCCGCACGCAACGCGGUUUCCCACGGCUCCUGUCCAUACUUGACCCCUGCUGCCCGCUCUGCCCACGCAGUGACCGCUAUCUGGAGUUUGUGAGCACGCCGCUGCACUCGGACGAGCUGUACACGCACAAGCACUCCAGCAAGUGAGGCGCCGCCCGAACCCGUGUGUCGCACGUGCGUCGCAUGGGUCUGCAGGACGCGCCGUGUGCGCGUGUUGCCUGAAUGAGGAAACCCAACGCUGAUGAUCCGUUCGGCCGCAGCGCUGGCUGCACUGCCACAGCUCUCCGUGUCCGCCUCACAUUAUUGGUCGCCUGUGCACCUGUUGCAAAAUGCGCACACGCCGCACCCGGGGGCUCCUGUGCCCUGACGCCAUCAACGUGCUGCCUGUGGCGCCACCCACACCGCCAUCAGCACCACCACCACUACCAUCACUAUCUGGCAUCACGCCUCCUCCACACCCCUCACCCUGCCCCCCUCAGGCUGUUUUGGGGCUACAACGGCGUCACUCCCGACACGGCGCUGACCGGGCUGCAGAACCUGGCGCUGAUGAUGCGGAGCAGGUGUGUGUGUGUGUGUGUGUGUGUGUGUGUGUGUAUAUGCGUGUGUUUGCUUUUGCGUUUGUGUGCGUGUGCGUGUGUGUGCGUGUGUGUGUGUGUGUGUGUGUGUGUGUGUGUGUGUGUGUGUCAGGCACGUGCGGGUGUGAGGUGGGGGAAACACACGUGCGGGCGGGGGGCAUCAGUCCGCGGGCGGGCGCCGGGCGGGCGCUGCGACCCCGGGCAGCCCGCCGCCACGCACAGGUGCGCGCCCUGUCUGUGCCUUUACCGCAUACGUCUUGCCUCCACACACUCGGCCCUGGCCCCAGCCUGAGCACACAACCCCCCUCGCUCGUUUGCAUCGGGUUUGGUUUACCUGGGCUGGUAUUUAUCCCCCCCGUGGCUGUUCCCCAAGAUUGUCUACCACUUCCAUUAGUCAUUAUGAAUGUAACCCCCCCUGUACACACCCGCCCGCAGUCAGCUGGCCCAGCUGCUGGCCUGGUACCCCAAUGUGACGGCGCUGCAGCCCGAUGACCUGCUGCAGGUGCGGGGCGUGGCGUGGGGAAGCGGGCGCAAUGGUGCAUGCAGCUCCCACCCGGGAUGGAGUGACACUGGGGCUCCGCGGGGGAUCGGGCUCCGUCCUGCGGCGUGUGGACAGACUGGAAGAACCUGCUUCACGUGUGUUGUCGAGUCAUCCUAUCCACCCACCCCACCCCAAUCACCACAGGACCCCGGCCACACCACCUUCCACAAGUUUCGCAAGCUAAUCAGGUGCGUGCCGCCGGGGUCAUGUGCACAAGUAUGGUAUGGAUCCAGGAAGCUCAUGUAGAAAUGGGUGGAGCGGCCUUCGUGCUGUGUUGCUUGUCAAGGCGUCAUGUCUUUGCUAGCCUACUUCCCGGUACGCGAUAUCUGCACAGCAGUAUGUGGACCGCUAUGAUAGAGCAUUUUGUAUGCAACGCCAUGCAAUUGUUACAUAGCAUCGUGGCCACAUCAGCAACACUGGAUCAACCCGGCCUACCCUCCACCAGGUCUAUUCUGGCGGUCCUGGCGGAGUUCCCCGAGCUGCUGGGCCCCGGCCGCAAGGAACCACACACCCGUGUCGCAGAGGUGGAGGGGGAGGCGCGGGCUGCCGCCGCGGCCACCACCCUGGCUGCGCGGCGCGCCCUCUCCAGCUACUCCAGCAGCAGCAGCAGCAGCAGCAGCCUGCAGCUACGCCGCAGCGGCGGCGGCGGCAGUGGCAGUGGCAGCCGCAAUGACGGUGUGGCGGUGCGGGACCCGUGUGACGCGGGUGCGGCGCUGAAGGCCCUCCAGCGCCUGUUCCACGACCUGGGCCAGACCAACGACAAGGUGCGGGGGGCAGGGCCGUGUGUCGGAAUGGUGGGCGCGUGUGUGGGUUGUGGGCUUGGGCACGGGCAGGGGACCUGGUAUGUCCGUGCGGGGUUCCGACGUCGAAGCGGCUGCGUGAUGGCAUCCGCGGCCAACACAAACCCCCUGCGAGCGGCUCGACACCCAACCUGCUGCGGUCUCGCCCGGCGGCGGGUCCGUCCCGGCGCUGCGCCCUCCCUACUCAGGUAUUCGCCUACCAGUUCUACUCCUCCCGCGGCGCCGAGUGGGCUGCCGAGGCGGAGGAGGCGCACCAGCAGGCGGCGGAGGGCUGGUCUGACAACCUGGACUUCAUGGCCUCGGCGCAGGUGGGCGCAGUGAGGGGUUAGUGUGAAUCGGUCCCAAAGGAACCGAGACCCAGGACUCGGGGGGGGGGGGGGAGGCGGAGGCGCGGGCGCGGGCGAGACUGGUGGGAGCCUGGGAUCGGGAGGUUGUCGAGUCGCUCUCAGCUCACAUCAGACACGUGGGGACUGAGGGGCUGGAGAGGAUGCCGGCUGUACGGGGGUAAGGAACAACAGAGGGGAUGUGGGUCGGGUCGGGCGUCGUGCGGGUUGUGGGUGACAGCGGCUGGUGCCGCUGGUUGCGAUAAAGCAGGCAUCCAAAAUCGCUUGUUCCGCAACCAUGCACCUUCCAGGACAAUGCCAGCGGCUCUUGGACUGCAUUUUGUGCCUGGCCGUGUUGCUUUCGCACAUGCUUUUGCGAGCUCGCCCCCUUGCCUCCCCCUUCUGAGAUGGAGAACAGCGGCAUGUCCCCUGUCCCUGCUCCCCUCCUCCUCGUCUCCCUGUCCUCGCGUUCCCCUCCGCGCCUCCGCCCGCUCCACUCAGGUUGACGUCAUGGCUCGGUGCAUUGCCGCCACACUGCCGCGGGGGGAGCAGCCGCUGCCCCAGCGCCGCCGCCGCCACAUGUAGAGCUAGGCGGGUGGGCAUUUGCAGCCCUUGUACUACCCGCAAUGGAUCAUAAAUACAUUUUACAGCCGUUGCAGCGCGUGCUGCAUGCAUUCAUGCUAGCGUUGGUUCUUUCACGGCGCUUAAAACAGCCGCAGUAGCCCGGUGGAGUAGCAGUCAGACGUGCAAACGUAUAAGGAUGUUGGGGGCUAAGCUGCGCGCUCGCGUGCGCUCGCGCGCACACGCCCAGCUACUGUGCGUAGCUGCUGCGGUGGCGGCGCCAGUGACUCCAAUCAUGUGCUGCGACCCAGCAAAACUGUUGUGUGCGCAUGCGUUUCAGUAAGUUGGGAGCGCUUGUUGGCGGCAGGAGUUUGUGGUGCAGGGGUAGUCAAGUUGUUGAUCGUGUCUGAGGCCUGUUGCACGCUCGGCACUUUGAUUCGAGGCUGGCAUGGGUACUGCUGCUCGAGAGCACGCAUCGCUGGGCUGUGUGUUGGGCUUCUGGGACUGGGAUGCAGACGUGUUGCUCAAAUGCAGUUUGCAACAAGCGCGGGCCUCACAGUGCCCUCCACGGGUGCGACAGCCCCCAUUGUGUAUAAGGGCCAUCCGUGGCUCUCGCCAACGCGGCGCCCCCACACGCGAACAAUGUGUUGGGCUUGCGCCUAGGACAGACGACCACUUAGGACGCUGUAUGAGGGCCAGCGCUAAGACAGGAUCAACCUUAUCUAGCUCCUUACAUGAACGGACCUAGGCCGGACGGCUGGGGAGUUGCUUUUAUUCCGGUUGCACCCGGGGGUUGCAUCUAUCCGUAUUGAUGUGUUGCGGGGGCUUGCAGGCGUGGUUAAGAUGCUUUUGCAAGGGUUGGCUAGCUCUUAAGCCCGGGCGCAUCAUUGCAUCGGCCUCUUUUGAUGCUACUGUAAGGUUUGGCUGAUGACAGCUUUGCGCACGCAAACGUGCUUGGAUUGGGUCGUCAAGCUUCAAAAGACGCGUUUCGCAUGGCCUAUGGCGAUAACGUGCUUCCAGGUGCUGAAGUAGCCGCGUUGGCGCGCGCGAUGGCGGCCAUCAGCGGUUCGCCGCGGCCAUCGAGACUCCCUAGAGGGCACGGUAAGUCUUCAGCUUCAGUCCGCUACUCGAAAUUGGUGUGCAUGGAGUUCAUAGAGGAUAUGACUCACGGUACUGCAGCUGCGCAUUGACAUUGACGAGUAGGGCGCGCGCCCUCCGAGUGCGCGCCAACUGCACCCGGGCAGCUGCCGAUGUACGGCGCUCGUCCGAGUUCUCCUAGCAACCUCUCAUGAGCCAUCGCAGUAUUAAAGCACUGUGGCAUCGACAAUUUCUUACAACCCUAAGCAAUUACAACUGCGACAUCUUACGAAGCUCAUCAGGUCAGACUUAGCGUUUUGCAACAAUCAGCCUCUUCAUCACCAAACUGCAAACAUGAAUUUAGCAGCCAUAAAUAGGGUCAAAGUUUUAGUAGCUGUCUGCCUGGCAAUCGCGGCGCCAACACACGCAGCGGGCACCGGCGCGCGGCCUGAAUCGGUGGCGGCCUUCCUGCGCGGCGGCAACUUGCCAAGCAUGGGCAACAUAGGUGAGUACUUGAAGGCAACUGGGGAUGGGCUGGUAAGGGGUCAGGGGAUUGUAAUCAGCAGCGUCCAAUCUGGCUUACAGCGCCAACAGACCUUAGACUAAUGUUAACGACCAGCACCAGCACGCACAAGCACCGUGUGUGAUGUUGUGACCAAACCCGUUCAACACUCACUUCAUUUGCACAUAACUGUCCCUGCUGUGCCGCGCAGGUGCACUGGCAGCAGGGACUUCAUCCAUCACUCCCGCUACUCAGGCAGCCGCCACCAGCACCGCCCGACCGCUGCAGCGCCUGCUGCAAUCCGACCCCACACUGCCCUUCACCUGCACCGGCAUCUCCCCGCCACAAAACUGCAAGCCGUCGCCGCUCUUUGGCAACAGCAUGGACUGCAGCCAGGCCACCUGCCCCCUGGAGCCCGCGGACGCCACCACGUUUGAGGACUGCGUGUGCGCCACGAACUGCCGCGGCGCAGUGAUGAUCGCGCAGUGCGCGGUGGGCUACAGGCAGUGCGACCAGAGCUGCGUGCCCUUGAUGCAGACUGGCUGCCCCAGCUCCUGCUACCUCAAUGUAAGCCUGGGUUCUAGCCGCCUGGGGUGGGCUUUAAACCUUACUUUGGAGUUGCGAGGCAAGGGUUGGCAGUCGUGUAGUCAAGUGUCAUCAAGUCUGUGGGAGUAGUCCGGGGCCCUGCUGCUGCCGGGAAGUCAGGCUGUGCACCAGCAGCCUGUCAGGCAGGGGUGCCGCUACUAGUCACAGCCUCUCUUGCUGCCGCACCCAGUAAAUUAGGGCCCCUGCCGCAACACGCACGAUGACUCACCUGCGGCGACUCACCUGCGGCCCAAUGUGCCCCUGCCACCUCCCCCCCCCACCUCAUCCACCGCCCACCCCUGCAGUUGGCGUUCUACACCUACUGCCGGUGUUCACCGGCCGAGGUCGCGGAGUGCGUGCAGUCGGUGGUGGAGGCAGUCAAACAGACCUACCUGCAAGUGUGCGCCAAGCUGCCGCGCCGGGAUGGCAGCCCCGUCAACGCAUUGCCGCCCCAAACCUGGGAGCCCGCGCCCGCGCCCAUCCAGCCGGAGCCGGAGCCAUUCCCUGAGCCGGAGCCGUCCCCUGAGCCGGAACCGUCCCCUGAGCCGGAACCCACCCCUGAGCCGGAACCGUCCCCUGAGCCGGUGCCAUCAUCUUCUCCCUCGCCUACCCGCUCGCCCUUACCUUCGCCUGCUGCUUCUCCAUCACCCUCCCCAUCCCCCAAGCCGUCGCCCUCCCCGGCCCUCCGGCCACCGCCCCCUUCCCUAAGCACCCCGGAGCCUGACGCCCUCUACGGCCCGCCUCCAGCGUGGGAGGACGCCUCUCCGCCGCCGCCCUCCCCACGGCCGCCACGCCCGCGCCCGCCCAGCCCCAAAGCCUCACCGCCGCCCAGCCCUCAGCCCUCUCGUACUUCACCCAGCCCCGUGCCUCUCCUUCCUCCCCAGAGCCCACAGUCCCCGGAUCUGCCUUCUCCCGCCGAGCCUCCCAGCCCCGAGCCACCCAGCCCCGAGCCACUCACCCCCGAGCCACCCAGCUCUGAGCCACCGUCACCUGAGCCGCUGCUGCCGCCCCAGAGCCCCAGCUAUGGACAGCCCACGCCGGCCCCUUCCUACAGUCCUGCUCCCCCGUACGGCGGCUCGUACCCGCCUUCGCCUGUGUACGGGCCGUACGGUGGCGUUCAGCCGCCACCGCCUGCUGCUUACGGGUCGUACGGCAGCCCUCCUUCGCCAGUGUACGGCGGUUACAGCUCAAGUCCGUCCCCCUCCGCAGCUUAUGGGUCCACCGAUACGAACCGUCCGCCUCGGCCGCCACGCAAGCUCCAUUCCCGGCCGCGCCCCGUGCCGCAGUGAGGGGCUAGGGGCGUGCUCCCGAACAUGCAUUUGAAUGAAUUGCAUGGUACCACGCAGCAGGUGCAGGCAAAUACAAUACGGUAUUCGUACAUAUAGAGGAAUGCCGCACAAAAGCGCAUUCGCAUGUUGGUGUGUGCGUGAGGUUGAGCAGUUUCGAGCAGGGCUUUCCUGUACAUACUUCAUCUGUACAUACUUCAUCUGUCUUCAUCGGUGCGGAACUGCAUUGAGCAGGCCAGUAGCGGGAGCUAAUCAGGGAUCCGCGGGUCGCCUCCGCCUCGAAGCAUCUUAUUUAUCACCGUAUUGAAUGUAAGCAUGGUGUGGGCCUGAGUAACAGCUCUAUGUCCAGAGCAGUCCAGAACCGUGUGCAUGUCUCUGGGUGUCCAAUCCCAGCAGCGCCGGCCUGUAGCCUUUGCCCGGUAGUCGUGUUUAUAUGUGGGUGUUCCUAUGGUGGUACGGGGGGGUUGGCUGCACACAGGAUCAGUACAUUCACGGACACACGCAUGGACACGCAUGACGUACAACGCAUGGUGUGGAGCGGGGGACGGAGGUUCGCUGCGAACGUUAUGAGCUGUAUGGGGCGGAUGCAAUGACAUACUGUAGUGGGUGGCGCAGCGGACCACGCAACAAACAUUUGCAGGAUGGCACAUGAGCAUGGCAUCUCCACCUGACGAGGUUGCCGCACGGGGUUGCCGGUCAAGGGAGCUGCACCGGGUUGUGGUGUUGGCAUGCAACUCGGGCGUCAGGUGCCACGGGCUGUAACACGUAUUUCGGUAUUUGUGACAAGACACCAACCAUGGUGCUUACCCGUGUCCCCCGAGCCUGAACGCCACCAAUCAGUCACUGGGAGCCCCAGAUUGGCAGGCCUGCAAGGCAAUUGCGGUAGUUGAUGUCAGGCGGCGCCGCUCCCCCAAGGCUGGUUUCGCUUCCCCCUUCGGCCCCAACCCAAUGUCCACUUCCGUAGGCCCAGGGACAUGUCAUCCUGGAAAAUUGGAAACGCGUUGACUUACACUCGGCUGGGUUCUUCUUCUCGAGGGGGUAUCGCGGAGAUAUCCGAUGAAUGAUAGCUAGGGAGCUCUCCAGUGUCGAGUGACCAGACACACCCCUUCGCAUUGUACACGUAACCAGCAGGUGAAUCCACGAGCGUGCAGAGCAGCGUAUGUGCAGGUCCUGAUAGUGCAUCGCCAACAACAGUGCUCCCCAGUGUACCGGUAGGAACGCCACCGGGACCAGGGCAUGCCGGGACUACCGGGCCGGCCAUCAUUGCCACGACAGCCAUCUGCAGUAGGUGUGGCUCAGUCAAUGUUAUUGAUACACAUGUAACACAAGUAUCUUACUAAGCUAUAUUAUAACUGCAUUAUAAAUCGAACGAACGCGUAAGAACUUCCGAUUCCGCCACCCACGACGACCUCGUUCACAGUCACUUCACAUUCUGCGUCCUUACGCUUCCCAAGACUCGUCACUAAAACCAACAUCCAGCUGCAAAUCACAGCGCACUGCACGAGUCGGUCGUCGACUCACUUGGCCGCGAUGGCGUCGGUCGCGCACUCGCACUCCCUGUCCACACCCGCUGUCACCCCUAAACGCUGCUGCCUUAGCGCUCUGACCUCGCCGCUAGCUCGAUGCAUCGGGCCGCUGGGCCACGCAGCGGCUUCUCGGGCAGCGCCGACGUCCCACGCCUCAGCAAGCUCUGGUCCCGCGCUCUCAGUGCACGCCUCCGUUUUAACGCCCCAGCCCGCAGCUCUGGUAACACCGCGUCCCCAGUCGCCAGCAGUCCCUGCGCCUCUCGCACCGACUCUCAGGUCACUGCUGCUCUCCGCAGCCUCCAGCUUGCCGUGCACGCUGCUGGCAGCAGCUGCCUGCUCCGCUGCGGAGCGCUCGGCCUCCGCCGCCGCCACCGCCGCAGCACCAGCAUCAGCAUCAGUGGCAGCAGCACUGACGUUUGAGCCUCGGGCACCGGAAGCGGGCGUGCUGGCAGCCCAGGUGCUGGUGCUGCUGCUGACGGCGGGCGCUGGCGCGUACUGGUGGUACGUGGUGGUGCCGACGGAGCGCGCGGCGGUGGGGCGUAGCAAGCGGCUGGGCGCCCUCAACAACUACCUCGGAGAGCUGGAGGCGCCGCAGGCGACACAGGAGCGCAAGUGGGUAUGCUAUGGUGAAAAUGUGGGCUAAGGAGCUAGGGAUGGAGGGACGGUAGGAGUGAGACUGGACGGCGGUCGUGGUGGGGGGCGCGGGUGCAGGUUCGGCUAACAUAGUGGCAACGAGACAGCGUGGGCGGACCCGGCUGUGCUUCCGGCAUGCUCUUGCCUCAGCCUCCCAUGCACGUUAUCCUUUGCCGCCCAGACUGGAGCGCUGGUUCUACACCGACUGGCUGCAGCAACGCGAGAAGCGCCGCCAACGGCUGGGCAAGCCUGCGGCGUCAGCCGCCGCUGCCGGCUCUGCGGCAUCUCCCGCCGCUGCCUCUCCCACGGCAACCCCUGCCGAUGCCUCCGAUGGCGGGGCCCCGAGCCCAGAGGACCCGUACACUGGCGAGCACGUGCCGUACAGCGAUGACCUGCUGCGACCCACUGUGGAGACGCCCACGCCGCGCUUCUUGUCCCUGGACAACCCGUUGGUCGCCACGGCGGCGCUGCUGACGCUGGUGGGCGUCGUGUCCACGCUUUUGCAUGGGUAAUGGGUGUGAUGAAGUGGCCUAGGGUCGUCAGCGCCCCAAGGGAUACAUUGCGGCUUUUCGUGUCCACUGGGUAGGUUGGGUAGAUAAUCAUGCGAACAGUGUGUAUCAAAGAUAGAAGUGCCGAGUACCCCUGCACCUGGCUUUCGUUCUCUUUGUACGUCAGGACGAUGAGAAAUGCUUGCUAAUACGACGUAUCAGUGGUGGGGGCUCAGCCUGCUGUGUUGAUGCUGUGUUGAGAGUGGGCAGUGGAGGCGUGCAGGGAGCGGCUGCGUAGAUUAACACAGGUGUCCUUGCUAGGACUGUGGGCUACGAGGAUGGGGGUUGUCUCGCUUGGAGCGCAAGUGGCGUGAGCAAGGCUGCAAGGGCUGUGCAGUGUGCAGUGCCUGGCAGUGUUUGUGAAGGCGUUGCGGCGUCGGCACGUGCACACCUGAUAUGAAGGCUACUACCACAUGGGAAAUGCAAGCCACCUAUGUGAUGCACGUUUGUGAUGCUACCGUUGCUAUUGUAUAGGAGUAGGACUGGCACGACGAGAGGAUAGUAACGAACGGGGCAAGGCAACGGGGAGCAUGUCAUUGGAGUAUGGAAAGUAGCGACACUCAGCGACUGGACUUGCCGGCUAGCGGGCACUGGCGCUGAGCAGCAGGAGACACAUGGCAAUCGCUUGCAGAGCUACACAGGCAUGAACUGCAAGGUCACUAGAUGAGGCAGGCUUUGGCGGCCCGGGUGUAUCACGCCCGGGACAGAGGAAUACCCACAGCUGCAACACUAUUGUAACUCAAUAUCGAGCACCGACGAUGCACCGUGGUUGCUGCCCGCACACCCACAUUAAGCCCACGCAACCCCGUGGCCCACCGCAGCACCACCGAACGCUCGACGUUGCACGCAAAUGGCGGGCUCUCCCCGUCGGCUACCACUCUUGGGCUGCUGCAGGGAAUUCCAGUAUUUUACUUACCUGCUGGUCAACGGUCCGGCUGGGUGUGCGAUGGGACAGUUGUAAGGCAGGUUGGUGAAGUCCCGUAGGGUGCCGCUGGAUGUGCGAUGGGACAGUGGUAAGGCAGGUUGGUGAAGUCCCGUAGGGUGCAGCUGAUUCCCAGAACCCAACAGAUGGCACACAAUUGGCAACGGCAGGGCAUGAGUGCGCGGCUGGUCGAACGCCGGGGUGAUUGUACCGACGAGUUGCUGGCUGGCUGGAAGGGUGCUGAAGCGCAUUCCGGUCCAGCUCGGUAGCGUUCCCAUGUUCCGAAUCCUUGCCGCCCUCGCACACCCUAAAGCAUCCCCUAGUCCUUGGCCACCACGAAGCGGCUGACUGGCUGAUUCUCAGAUACCCAUCCCACCUUCAAAGCGAAACCCACAGGCACAGGUACAACUCAUGUCGCGUUGACUUACACUCGGUUGGGUUUUUCUUCUCGGGGGUGAGAUAUCUGAUGAAUGAUAGCAUCCGAUCUCUCCAGUGUCAAGUAACCAUGCCUAACCCUGAUGCCUAGGGUAUUGUACACGGUGCCGCCACGUAACCAGCAGGUACGGGCUAAUUAUUGUGAAGUCACGCGCGUUUGGGGGAAACCAAUAGCAGCGUAUAUACAAACGCAAAACCGCAUAACCUCAGAACACCAGCAAAACUGAGACCCAAAAGUCUCAAAGAAUGUCCUUGCGUCAUGCGAUCACGCUUGGCUUAGCCACACACCAACAACACACACACACACACUCUCAUUGCACUCGCUCAAACACCAACAAACAUCACACACGGCUCAGAUCGACGAGCGCCUCCAUUUACACGGAGCGCUUGUUGGCGGGCUGGAAGUCGCGGGCAGUCUUGGGGCGCUGGACCAGGAAGCCCAUGAUCUGCACCUGCUUCUGGUUGUCGAAGGCCACCAGGCGCACGUAGGCAUCGGGGAAGGCCUUGGUGCAGGCGACGAUCUCGCGCAGCACCUGCAUGGGGUCGCGGCAGCCGAACAUGGGCAGCUUCCACAUGGUCCAGUAGCGGUUGUCGUAGUACAGCUGCGGGCGCACGGGAAAUGGGAGGGAGAAGAGGUUCAGUCACCAGCGCACAGAACCACCAAAGAUGGAAUUGGGCCCCUUGCUUUUCCGUGCUGAAGCACGAGCAGGGGUAUGCGUCAGUUCCCCGCGGUGAGAUAGGCGCUGUCCCGGUGCCAAGCUAACCCAGUGCCACAGUGGACCCGUCUGGCUCUCGCUCCGACUUACGCAAGACACGCUGCCGAAGCGGAUGGCCGACUCGUUGGACACGUAGGCCUUGUCGGCCUCAGCGAACUCCAGGCAGGGGAUCCAGCCUGCAAGCGACAGCACGAAGGGGGUAAGAUAAGUGGCCGACGCAAGCAGUCCAGGGCUAUCCCAGAUAAGGGCGGAUGACAGGCAAACUAUACAGCAGACAACGAACAAGCUAAUCUCAAGCUUCGAGCGAUCGUAAUGUCGCAGUCUGCAGCUACGCCCUAGAUCGUAUUAACUAGCUCUCAAACACAGCCCAGCUACAUAUGCCCACGGCACCAAGCCGUGCUCACCGUUGGCGACGAUGUAGUCGACCUGGGCGGCGAUCUGCUCGUCGGUCAGAGGAGGCAGGUAGGAGAAGGUCUCGAACAUCCUGCGAUCACGCGAUUGACCAGUACUCGUUAGAAGUGGCAGAGCACGUGCGAUGUGAGGCAGCAGGCUGGGCCCCAAGCAAUUGCGUCGCGACUUGCAGAAUCCCUAUCCUUCGGGCUGCGCUUGCUCGUCGACUCACUUGUUGUUGACCGGGGUCCAGACCAUCAUCUGGUUGGCCUGAGCCGGGGCAGCCACGGGGGCAGCCUUGACGGCGGGCUUCAGCGCGGCCAUGGGGCGCACGCUGGAGCGGGCCGGGCGAGCCACGGCCGCGGAGACGGAGGACUUGGCAAUGACGGCGGCCAUUUUAGAUGUUUGAGAAAGUGGUCGAAUGAACGAGUAAGUUCUUGGGACAAAGACUCGGAGGUGGCCGGUCGCCGUUUUCAAUCCCCGCUCGCCGAUGACCCGUACGGCAGGCUUAUCCGACUCGUCGGCUUUCACGACCGCCCGAGCCUGCGCGCUUCAUCCGCUUCCGGAUAGCUUGCUACGAUAAUGCAUUAUUCAAUUUUACGACGCAAUGUCAUGAGCAGCGCCGGGCGGGCUUAUUUACAUGCGUCGCCUCGCUCGCCGUUGACUUGAUACUUUGGAAAUUCGGGCUCGAUUCGUUGCUACAGCCUGCCUUUUGCACACAAUGUGAACGUCGAUUCUACAUUUGUAUGUGACUGAACUUCGCGGCCCCUACUGAACGUUUCGUGCAAGCGACAUGUCGACUCACAACUUGGAGGAACGCGCGAGGGGUCCCCACACGCACUUUCAGCCUGCUUUGGCGAAAUGGACAUGAUAGGUAUAGCCAGGAUAUGGGUCUGCUAGCUCGCCUGGUGUUUUGACCGUCGAUCGGUUUCGCGUUGGGCCUUGCGGCUGCUCGCUCGCCGCGGAUGCUUCCGCACACUGCGCGGCACGUGUUAGUCUGUGCACGACGACGGUUUGUUUGUAUUGCGCCGCCAACGUUCAACGGUGGUGGUAGGUUCGAAUGUCAGAAUGUCGGGCACGGGGACCUUGGGCGCAUUGCCUACAAGCGCGUGCCUGUGUUUUUGGGGGGCAGAGAAGUGAGCCUGCCUAUUGGGUCACAAUAGCACAGAGGCGGGUGGCCAGCGUCGGGAACUGGUUCAGAACGGCUGCAGGGACAGCACCGUGCGUGCGUGUGUGUGUGGGGGGAGCCUUCAAAGUUGACGAGCUUCGCAGCGCUGGGAUGGACUGGCAUUGCGUGCUUGAGUUUGCGUCCCGUGAGAACCCUGCAGUUUAUGGCGGAGACAGGGAAGAGGGAAUGGGAUCGCGCCGGUGCAGGGAAAGGGCACGAAUCUGAGGUUACGGUAUCUGGGGGGAGGUGCCCAUGUGGGAGGGGAAGCCUAACUGCCUGUCUGGGUGCAGACCAGGAAUGGCAACACGUGAACGGUUAGUAGAGAGCUGUGUGCUGUUGGGCGCUCUCGGCAAGGGGCGUGGGAGGGGGCUGGGUUGGUGGGCGGCUGUCCGCACAGUGCCUAGCAGUGCGCACUCAGGCCCUUCGCAGACCGAAGAGGGCGCCAGGGCCUAUGCGCGCGUGGCUUGGCGUGAGGUUCUUGCUGUUGGCGUCAGGCGCCGCAAAAGGCCGGGUGGCUCUGCAGUGUCCUGCUCGCUUGGCGUGCGGCAAAGUGGUUCAGUCAGCGAGCGCAGUGUAUGCGUGUGUGCGUGUAUGCGUGUGCGUGCGUGUGUGUGUGUGUGUGUGUGUGUGUGUGUGUGUGUGUGUGGUUGCUGCGGAGAGGGCACGCAGCGACACGAGAUUGCCAUGCAGUGGUGCAAGCUGCUGGGGUCGGGUAAACGGGGUGGGAAAGUUGGUGAUGGUGGAAUGUUCUUGUGGCACGAACUGGCCUUGUGCGUAUUCGUUCGCCCCGUUCACUCUGGUCCACCAAUCCCACAGUCACUGCACUUAAAUGCCUAAAAGCCCCUGCUACGGUGCGGACAGGGUAAGGCCACGGCAGGUCUAAGUCCAUAUGCGCCCGUAGAGGUUCGAGUGCGUUAACCGGUCGCAAGGUGUUCACAACAUGUUGAUGUGUUGACAACAUGGCUGUGGUCAAGACGUGCCCUGCGAACUUCCCGUGUUUACAUGUUAAUAGAGCUCGCUGACAGCAGUCAUUUGACACCAUUAUGGAAGAAAACAGAGGGGAUUUAGGGGGUGUACGGCACGGUAUGGCACGGUCGGUCGUCGGUCCGGGGGGUCGGGGGGUUCUGCAGGGUGGGGCCUGGAACUAUUGUUCGUACACCCCCGCCUGGCUCCCCUGCUCCCCCUGACUAACCCCUGACCUCUGGCUUUCUUCGCUUUCCUUUCAGUGUCACCAAUUCUCAUGAGUGGGGGCGCACCCCGAAAUAAGCGGGUACGGUGCUUCAGUUCAGUGCUUGCCACGGCCUCAAGAGCCCCAAACCACGUGCACCGAAAUUCGCUUGCACUCCAAAUGCACUGGGAAGCCAGUAGCAGCGCGCUCUCAAAUGCUGGCAUGUGUCUCUCUCUGUCCAGAGCCUGAAUGCGCCAAGUCUGCUACGGUAGGAGGGUGCAACCCGUGGCCCGCCUUGAACCGCGCUUGCACACACAGCUGGAUUGCUGCUGGCAUGACCGUGUGAAAGAGGUACAGGCAGCCGGGCAAGUCCCAGCGGGCAGGUUGGUGUAGGCUAUGCCCCAUAACAGGCCCGUGCAUGCUGCCACGGACUUCUCGCCAGGAAUGUAAGUCCCGAUGCUAGACAAUUACUCCAGCAGCUGCAUGCCGCCAUCUUCAGUACUCGGUAUCCCUUGGUGCACGCAAGUCAAGGAUCAGUCCCAGGGCUCACCCUGGAGCAAUGCAGCCUGCGUGUGCACCUGCGAUGGAGCCGCGGCCUGCGGUAUUGGCUGCCCGAUUACGAAGCUGCGGGUGGGGGCAGUUGGCACGCAUUCCGCCACAGACCCCGCGAGCCUAGCCGCACCCAAGCUCUAAGCGGCCUAGACCGUGACCAAAGGCGAAGAAGCCGCGGCCAUCCCUGCGCUCAGAUUGCAUUGGUUACAAGAGGGACCUGCUGACGCAGUUCAUGGCUUCAUGCGCUCAGAGCCCGAGCCCUGAGCGGCAGCAAAAGCAGAAGCCACGCUACGUGUGCUAGCUACGACCAAUGCCUUGUACAGCUCUCCUCGGCUGCGCUCUUCGGCUGCGCUCCUCGGCUGCGCGGGACAGGGGACUCCGUGCAACCACUAUUGCUUAUAGCCUGCACCAGUCAUUGACGAGUGUUGCGGAACUAAUGCGUACGUAGACCAGAGCGGAAGGCGGAGUGGGCUUGCAGGCGGCACGAGAGUAGGCAGUCAGUAGCGCAAGUUGCGAAUUCCCAUGUUACCUCGUAACCGACGGUAAACGCUGUGGACGGUCGCGCCCAUGGCUGGCUGACGGAAGCUGGCUGCGGUAUUGGGAUGGCUGGGCUGGAUGACGCCGGCCGGGCUGGCGUUGGGACUACCAGAAAGGAUGCGCCCGAAACCAACCUGGAGAACACCAGCGCCACCGGUGCCCAGCACGACAUGUAAGGGAGGGAGGGAGGGACAGGAGGCGUGAUGCACUGCAGCGUAGAAGCUGCAGUCAUGGGCACAGCUUGUACCAUACAGCACGGUCAUCAAGGACACAAUGCCGGAACGGCAUCAUACGAGGCGGGGUUGGGAGCUGCAGGAAGUGGGCAGCGGGGCAGAAUCAAAGGUUUGCAUCGUUUAGAACAGGUGCGGAACACGCGCCAGCGCCAGCGCGGAGGACCCCAAGUAAGGCCUUUACUCACCAAUGUACGUUUUGUACACCCAAUCUCGCCCCCUAUCGACGUUGGCACUAGGUAGCUGGCUAUCAUUCUAUGCAGAUUAAGCAAAGGGGCACCGGGAACAACUGACUCAUGUUCGUCACUGCAGGUUACUGCAAAUGCUGUCUCCACCUUUGCUGCACGGUUCCGUUUCGUCACGUUUGCUGGUGUUGCUACCCGCCGUUCUUUAGUGUGUAACUGAUCUGCGAACCGAGUCCCCUUCAGCUGAUGAACCCCGCAGCAACUUUUCCAAAAGCGCUUCAAAUACGCCCAGCCCGCCCAUGGAGAAAGAGGCCAAAAUCAACGGAGGAUCGUUACAACCAACAAAAUUGCAAAACUCCUCCGCUUUUUACGUGUUGAAAAAGACUGAUCAGCACGAAACGGGGAGCUAAGCUACCGCUUCAGCACUUGAGAGCAGUAUCUUCCAUCCACCGCCGUUCGUCAGGGGGCAAGGCUCAGAUCAACGAGCGCCUCCAUUUACACGGAGCGCUUGUUGGCGGGCUGCCAGUCGCGGGCAGACUUGGGGCGCUGGACCAGGAAGCCCAUGAUCUGCACCUGCUUCUGGUUGUCGAAGGCCACCAGGCGCACGUAGGCAUCGGGGAAGGCCUUGGUGCAGGCGACGAUCUCGCGCAGCACCUGCAUGGGGUCGCGGCAGCCGAACAUGGGCAGCUUCCACAUGGUCCAGUAGCGGUUGUCGUAGUACAGCUGCGGGCGCACGGGAAAUGGGAGGGAGAAGAGGUUCAGUCACCAGCGCACAGAACCACCAAAGAUGGAAUUGGGCCCCUUGCUUUUCCGUGCUGAAGCACGAGCAGGGGUAUGCGUCAGUUCCCCGCGGUGAGAUAGGCGCUGUCCCGGUGCCAAGCUAACCAGUGCCACAGUGGACCCGUGUGCCAAAAGCUAACCCAGUGCCACAGUGGACCCGUCGGGCUCUCGCCAGACUUACGCAAGACACGCUGCCGAAGCGGAUGGCCGACUCGUUGGACACGUAGGCCUUGUCCGACUCAGCGAACUCCAGGCAGGGGAUCCAGCCUGCAAGCAAGGGGAUGAAGGGUGCCGCGAAGGGUGAACGAGGGACAAAGACACGGACAGGAACCGGAUAAGGGGCGGCUUGACCAAGAACUCACGCUCCGACCGCUACUUCGGCAACCCAAAUAAGUGAUUCCACGCUAUGGCUCUGUCGCUGUCGUAUAGCCCGGCUGGUAGCAGCUGGAAAGCUCAAGUGAGGCUGGACAAGCCGCGCUGGCAUGAGUGCAAGCUGUUUGCCCAAGAAAAAGCCGCCGAAAGCCCAGGCUGACUGCAGAUUCCUGACUUGGGCACUGUUCGUUGCUGGAGUGUUGCUCGCAACCCCGCAAGCUCACCGUUGGCGACAAUGUAGUCGACCUGGGCGGCGAUCUGCUCGUCGCUCAGGGGGGGCAGGUAGGAGAAGGUCUCGAACAUCCUGCAAAUGGAAACGGCGACGCAGGGUUAGAUGCUGCUUGAGACAGCGACAGAGGAGCCAAAAGCCUUCGUCGACACAAUGCGGGCGUUGCAAGUCAAAUCUGCAAGCACGCUGCCUGAUCCGCCGGGCUUGCUCGUCGACUCACUUGUUGUUGACCGGGGUCCAGACCAUCAUCUGGUUGGCCUGAGCCGGGGCAGCCACGGGGGCGGCCUUGACGGCGGGCUUCAGCGCGGCCAUGGGGCGCACGCUGGAGCGGGCCGGGCGGGCCACGGCCGCGGAGACGGAGGACUUGGCAAUGACGGCGGCCAUUUUAAGAUGUUGAGUGACUUCUCUUGUAAAAAAGUAAAGAACAUAGGCCCCCUGGCCGGUUUAUCAGGAGGGCACCGCUCCAGGGGCUGCAUGCGAACUGCUUGCAUUGGCGCCUAGCCUUUGUGGGCCAGGGGGCUUCCGGAUAAGGGUUGCAAGUGCUCAAAUACCCCAUCAAACAUCAUCCUGGUUUGGCUGCGCUCCUUCUGGCGCGCCCGGGAAGCCGGGCUUGCACGCAGAGUGAGGAUGCGGCACGGGUGCACGCGCACGAUAGUCACUUUGCAUUCUCAGGACGUUCGCGACGCUAUUAAGGCUGGGUUUUAUCAAAACUAACGAGCUCGGCCACGCGGGCGAGUUCAAACCGUGGCGUGACACAACUAAUAUACGCCCCCGUCGCGGCGGCCCCGGCUGGCGCGCAAAGCAUGCCAAUUACCUUCAUCUGUCACGAAGUAUCAUAGGACGGCAGGCGGGGCAUCUGGGCCGCUCUCGCGGUGUUGCUAGGAAACAGACAAUGUUCCUGCCGUUUGUCCAGUUUUUCGUCGUUUCUGGCGCCGUGUCGCCUCUAAGAGGUAUGUGGAAGAGUUUUACCUGGCUCGCGUCGAAUGUAUAGACCCGUGCGCCGGCGCAUGCGGCGAUCCGGGUUGUGCCGACGGUCGCGGCUUGCUUGACGUGGGCUGCGUAGUUCACCACUCCCCUGGGGCACUGGGUUCAUCAUCAUUUGUACACACUGAGACAGUGCGGUACUACCAUCGUGCAGGGGACUCCGAAGUUCGGUCCACCAAUCCACCAAUGGCGCUAGGACGGGACUUGACGGGAUCGGCGUAGGACGGUGGAACGGGUGCGGUUUGCGUAAUGCAUCAGGGGGGGUCGUGACAGAGGCACGAGAGCUCCCGUCAUGCAGAACGCCGUGGAGAGCCGCUGAGGGGUUUGGAAAGGUGAAAGGGGGGGUCCUAACGGGUCCUAUGACUCGCGGUGGGUUUCUUGCAAUCAUGUCAGGUAAGCGUCGGACCCCUGCAUAAUGCAAAUUACUUUGCGUCUGUUAUACCUAAGGCAGCAAUGCACGGUGGCGGUGGGUGGUGAUCCCUUGGUCGUUCAGACUUCCGACUGCACCCUACAAAAGGACUGAACGCACAGGGAUUGGAUCCUAGGGGUGACCGCACAGGGACCUGGACCCCGCCUACCGGCGCGCGCUGGUGCUGCGUGAGCUGCUGGGCUACCCCGCCGACGUCCCGUGCCGAAGCGGCCCACCUGUACCCACCGCCGCCGGGGAAGUGACAUGGGUUAGCAACCCGGCCUAUCCACUUUGGGUCGGGGCAGCGGCGGGGCAGGGCGGGGCAGGGUGCCGACGUGCUGUGACCUGCGGGACGGCGUGUCACAAAGCGUGUGCGAGAACGGCAAGGGAAGGGGCGAACCCAGGCGCGGCCUGGACGCGUAGACAGAACUGCAGGUGCAGGCGGGCGCUUGGCGGCACCCCAGGGGGACACACGUCAUGACGUCACGACCUGCACCCAACGCGUACGCGUCCCUCCAAUGCUAGGCCGCGCCGGCGCGAGUGUCGCCCUACUGUCACCGUGUGGGACGUGGCCGUGCAACAAUGUCUCUGCGUCUCGCCACGAGCAAGUGUUCACACAUUGCGCUUCAGUGCCUUGCCAGCCCGAGCACCCGCAGUACCCAAUGCCGCCGUGUCCCGACUCCACGAUGGGGGCCAGGACAGUCUGGCCUGACCAGGCGUGCUGCCUCUCCUACCGUAGCCUACCCCGGCGCGGCGGCCGUGCUGACCAUGGGUCCCACACUACCAACUCCAUGCCGACUCGGAUGUGAACGCUAGCUGGUGUUCGGGUGCGAAUGUGCAAUUGUGCGCAGCGCCCUGCAUCCCCCGCGGCACGGGCCCCCGUGUCAGGGCCCCGCCGCCCGGUGACGUACAGAAGGCAGGGCAGAGGUCCGGGCAUGUGGGCUUCUAGGAACUUCGAAACACCACCGCUGGUCACCUUCCUGCAGAUGCGCUGCGGCUCUGCAUCGCGAGUGUGGCGUUGCGGUGUGUCUGUGUGGUGCUAUCGCCUGGCGCCGGAGCGUGAGGAAUGCGCGUCAGCAAACUUCCAGCCAGCCAGCAACUUGUCGGUACUGUAAGAGCAUCCGUCAGCAAAAGUAACUCUGGCGUUCGACCAGCCGCGCACUCCUGCCCUGCCGUUGCAAAUUGUUUGCCAUCUGCUGGGAAUCAGCUGCAUCCUACGGGACUUCACCAACCUGCCUUAACACUGUCCCAUCGCACACCCCGACCAUGCCAUGUUGACGUUCCACCCAUGCGUUACACCGUACUUGUACAGUACGGUAUGAGGGCACGCUCUGGAUAAGCUCCUUGACCCGGCAGCCGACAAGACCAUGUGACACUUUGCAUGGACUCCACAUUUCUGCUGACGGCUUCUGCCUGUGCCACGGGAGGGGCCACAUUCGAAUGUAUUCUAGCGUCCUUUGCGCUUCAUGAUCACGCACCAUACAUGACCGUGCCGAACCGUUAUCCGCAAGCCGCCAAAAAGGAAGUCGCCUUGGGAUUAUGAAUGCGACAUUACAAGAAGGCACAGUCCGUCCAAGCAUGGGUGCCCAGCCCAGCGUGCCAGCCCAGGGAUUAUGCCUUUUCUUCUCUCAGUUUGCAUCAAGGACCCAAUCACGCUGACGCAUCCUGACGCAUUCACCGCCGGAACGCUCCCAGCAGGUUAAACGCGCGCUCCUUCUUGGAAGCGGUCUCCUGCUCCGGCUCCACCUCCUCCUCGGGCUCCUCCUGCACCUCCUCCACCGGCUGCUGCUUGCGGCCCAGCAGACCGCCGAACAACUGCUGCUUGGCGCCGUUUCCGUUUCCGUUGGUAUUUCCGUUUCCGUUUCCGUUGGCGGCCUUGGCGGGCGCGGCCUUUCCGUUACCGUUACCGUUGGCCCUGCCGUUGGAAGCGCUGCCCCUUUGACGGCGGGCUUCAGCGCGGCCAUGGGGCGCACGCUGGAGCGGGCCGGGCGGGCCACGGCCGCGGAGACGGAGGACUUGGCAAUGACGGCGGCCAUUUUAAGAUGUUGAGUGACUUCUCUUGUAAAAAAGUAAAGAACGUAGGCCCCCUGGCCGGUUUAUCAGGAGGGCACCGCUCCAGGGGCUGCAUGCGAACUGCUUGCAUUGGCGCCUAGCCUUUGUGGGCCAGGAGGCUUCCGGAUAAGGGUUGCAAGUGCUCAAAUACCCCAUUAAACAUCAUCCUGGUUUGGCUGCGCUCCUUCUGGCGCGCCCGGGAAGCCGGGCUUGCACGCAGAGCGAGGAUGCGGCACCGGUGCACACGCACGAUAGUCACUUCGCAUUCUCAGGACACCUGCGACGGGUGCGGUUUGCGUAUUGCGUCAGUGGGGGGUCGUGACAGAGGCGCGAGAGGUCCUGUCAUGGCAGAACGCCAUGGAGAGCGGCUGAGAUGGUUCAGGAAGAAGACAAGGGGUGUCAGCUUUGUACAGCUGGAAAAUGGGCUGAGCCCCAUGUAGCGCAAGGGGAUGUGACGAUGGGCACCGGCGACAUGAACAGCACCCUUGCAAGCCCAUCCAGCGGGACUGGCCACUAUGCCAACGCCGUGCCGAGGCACCGACAUGCCCUGUCCCCGCCACGCCACGCCACCUUACCCACGCCACUUCACGGUCCAUGAUAUCCCAAAUGCAUCUCACCCACAUCCCACUCAAGCACCGCAAACGGCUAGCCGGGCUCGGGCGCGGGAUCCCGGGCCGCGACACAUGUAAGGCUCGGGGACGCAUGGUUUGGCUGUUGCAAACAAUUUCGACAUUCUUGCCCCAAGACGCUUGUCGUCGACAUGUUUUGAUACAUGGAUGUAAGAUAUUUAGGGGCCGAGAGCUAUACUCGUGAACUGAAGAAAGUCAAGAUGUCCAUGGACUCACGAGGUCGCUUCUCGCUCCGGCCGAGUUUUCCCUGCCGUCUAUUUUUCUACAAUAGGUAAUUGCAAUUAAUAAUACGUGGCCCGCGUUUGUGCCAGUAUGGUACUUUUUGUCGACACAGGCACACACGCACGCACGGACAGGGGCAAUCCUGGGGGGCUUCGCCCCCCCUGGAUCGCUUCGCUCAGGGGGCUCAGCCCAAAAAGGCAGUCCUAUGAGCAGCGGUGGGUUGUCUCUGCCUGCAAUCGUGUCCGUCUCGCGUCGGACCCCUGCAUAAUGAAAGUACUCUGCGCCUGUUAUACCUGGGGCAUUCAUGUGCGGUGGCAGUGGGUGGUGAAAGGUGAGGCUGGAGCUAGCGCUGCUUUGCCCCUUGGUGAUCCCUUUGUGGUGUGAACUUCCAACUGCACCAAACCAAAGGACUGAACGCACAGGAAUCGGAUCCUAGGCGUGACCAAAGUGGAGAGGGCGGGUUGCUAACGCAUGCCACUCCCCCGGCAGCGGUGGUUACAGGUGGGCCGCUUCGGCACGGGUCGGCACGGGUCAGGGCACGAGCAAUUGUUCACACAUUGCGCUUCAGUGCCUUGCCAGCCCGAGCACCCGCAGUACCCAAUGCCGCCGUGUCCCGACUCCGCGAUGGGGGCCAGGACAGUCUGGCUUGACCAGGCGUGCUGCCUCUCCUACCGUAGCCUACCCCGGCGCGGCGGCCGUGCUGACGACCACAACUGCCCUGACCAUGGUCCCACACUUCCACUCCAUGCCGACUCUGACGUGGACGCUGGUGUUCGGGUGCGAAUGUGCAAUUGUGCGCAGCGCCCUGCAUCCCCCGCGGCACGUACGGACCCCCGUGUCAGGGCGCCGCCGCCCGGUGACGUACAGAAGCCAGGGCAGAGGUUCCGGGCUGCCGGGCCCGGACCAGGCUUGCGGGCGGUCAGAACCUUCAGAGCACCACGUGUAUGCCAAAUGCCUGCACAUUGCGCGUAAUUGCCCGUCAAGUGUUUUGCUACCUGCCUGCCUCUUGCUUUGCCUGGGUCCACCCACCCCGCAUAGCACGCAUGACCCAUGCCGCAUGCAGUACGACCGGGAUGAGCCAUGCAGCCACUGCGCUGUCUCUAUCUGUCCGGCCGCCCGGCGCGCGGAGUUGUCUGCCUUUCUUUUUGGCGUAGUGUUUACAUCAGCUUCCCCUACGCCGCCUUAGGUCACCUCGUGCAACUCGGCCCGCCUUGCAGCCAGCAGCCGCGCUCCCGCGCGCUCCGAGCUGCAUUUGUCUACUGCCACUGUUGCCUCCCCGCUUCCUGCCGCUGUUGGUUCCGCCCUCUCUUCCUCACUCCGUUCCUUCCACACAUAUGCUGCUGGGCGCCAGUGGCGCUGGUGUCUCCCGGUUGGUUUCGGACAGCUCGUAUUCUGGCGUCUCCGGCGCCUUCAUUCGCGGCCGCUCCUGAUCCAGGCUCGCCAUGCCAUGCGUUACACCGUACUGUAUGCCUGUGAGUGCUCGCCCUCGUAUCACGGAAUGCUCUCUUGGGAUGCGCUCUCCCUUCUUUGUGUGUCCGUCCAUGCAGCCAGUAAAAUCAUUGGGCUCAGGGCUGGGCCAAAGCAGUACAGUUGCGCCAGCCCCGCCACUCGCCAUCAGAGUCUCUGUUUCUUCCUGAUGCGCCCAUGCUCAAUUGCUCAUAUGCUGCCGGGUUGGCAACUGUGCACGAAGUACGCAAGCUUUGUACAGGGCUCCCUCCGUUCCUAACGAGCGUCAUGAGAACUGGCCUGCAUCCAUACCUCCAUGAUAUUUAUCCCAGUUGGCUCCUGUAAACUCACUCGUGGCCGCAUUCAAAAUGCGCAGAUCCCAACUAUCAAACACCAAGGAACCCCUCUACCUAAAGGCGUGCGCCACAAUCCGCCGGGAACCUCGUGCCACUCUUUUAUAUGCGUCCCCACUCCCUCUGUCUGUGCCUUGUGAACCUGCCCAGUUCAAUUGCCGCACUUGGCAUGCCGCAGUCCUCAUUGUGUACUGUGCCCUUGAAACUUCGCCGCUGCUUGACAGGCGCGCGGCAUUCGCUUUGCCCUGGCCCGUACCACACUCUGCCGUACCUAGUCGGCCGCAGUCGGCGGGAUCUGCGCAUAGAUGGCGUAUCUAUCCGAUCGCAAUGGAGCUCUUCAUGUUGCACAACGUUAUCUUCACAAUUGCGCAAGGCUUACGGACAAGGUCCCCCUUAUGCCUCAUCAGCAGCAUGCGCCAGCACGCCUGGUGCCAUACCCAUCCAUCAGGCUACAGCGCCAAAGAAAUACCACGCAAGUGUGAAACCAACAAACACUUUUGACUUGCUUCAUAAACAAAGCUCAAUGCUUGCCGCAGCGGCGGCGUGAUCCCCACAGGUCAACCCAGCGCUCCAUCCUGCGACCGCCUACUCAUGUGCCUACUUCCAGCCCCCUCCGGAACUUACGGGCACCUCACGGGCACCUAGACGUCAGCCAACCCGCCUGCUUUGAAAGCUGUAGCCUGAAACAACCACAUUGUAGCAUUCUCAUAGGAAGCUUGAGGGGCUGGCGCUACAGUAUGAGGGCGCCGCACGCUCUGGAUAAGCUUCCGUGACCCGUCAGUCGACAUUACCAUGCGACACUUUGCAUGGACUAAAUAUUUCUGCUGACGGCUUCUGCUGCACACUCAAAAUGUAUUCUGACGUCAUAUGCGCAUCAUGAUCACGCACCACACACGACCGUGCCGCACCGUUAUUCGCAAAGCCGCGAAAAAAGAAGUCGCUUUUGGAGUUAUGCUUUUUCUUCUCUCAGUUUGCAUUGAGGUCCGAUCGCGCUGAUGCAUUUACCGCCGAAAGACUCCCAGCAGGUUAAACGCGCGCUCCUUCUUGGAAGCGGUCUCCUGCUCCGGCUCCACCUCCUCCUCGGGCUCCUCCUGCACCUCCUCCACCGGCUGCUGCUUGCGGCCCAGCAGACCGCCGAACAACUGCUGCUUGGCACCGUUUCCGUUUCCGUUGGUGUUUCCAUUACCGCUUCCGUUUCCGUUGGCAGCCUUGGCGGGCGCGGCCUUUCCGUUACCGUUGCCGUUGGCCCUGCCGUUGGAGCCGCCGCCAGAGGCUGGCUUCUUCACCCCGAGGAUGUUGGGCACCUGCAGGGCAGGCCGCACAGAUGGUGCGGGGCAGAGAGGCACAGCGGCGGCACCGUGUGAGUUGGCUGCUUGAGGGGCUGAUAUGGAUACUGCUGUAUGACCGGCCCCUGAGCGACCCCCGCUGCCGCGAGCACGACCUUUGGCACUCAUAUGAUUCUAUCGACCUAACGCGGCGACGCCCACCGGUUGCAUCGCUCGAGGACACCGUCGCGACUGGCUAGCGGGCUAGCUGGCACUGGCUGAAUCGCUGGCUGCUGAAUCGCUGGCUGAUUGGCGCACGCACACACACACACACACACACACACACACACACACACACACACACACACACACACACACACACAGAGAGAGACACACACAUAGACAGACACACACACAGACACACACUGACACACACUGACACACACUGACACGCACGCACACACACACGCACACACACACACACACUCAUGCUCAAGCUGGGCACGAGCUCUGCAACGCACUUCGCUGCGCCGGCGCCUGCUCCGCCCUCUCGCCCGAGCACGCGCCCACACCAGCCACUCCACCCGCCGCCGCCACGACCACCCGCCCGCCGCCGCCCAGCGCCCGCCUGCUCCCUGUCCUCUACGCCGGCAGCAGUGAGCGCGGCACGCUCACCUUGACCUUUGCCUCGACCCGAGCGGCAGCCGCCGCCGCAGCUGCGGCCGCGCCAGCGGCGGCCAUGGGCCCGGUAGGCUUCACCGGCGUGGUUGGCUUGGCACCCUUGCCGCCGCGGGCGUUGUUGAUCGCCGAGCCGACCUGCAUUGCGGAUGGGGCCGCACCGUAUGGAUCCUGGAAAGUUGGGGGGCGUGGCAUAAGGUCAGGGUGUCGGGGUGCUUCAGGCCCACGGCCGCGUGUGCGUGUCACCGUCGGUGAGCGGUGGCAGGCCACAAGACCCGAGCGCCUUCGGCAGCCCCUGAGAGCUGCCCUGCCUCCCUCCCCGAGCGACCUCGAGCGCAUCGUGCGCCCCCUGUCCAAAUGCCCCUGCUCGACCUUGAACCCGGCUUGCCAACCCCGUCAACCACGCCACAACCCCUUUACCGGACCCUGCCCCCUCCCCCUUCCUCAUCUUCCUACACCUCCCCUCCUUCCUCCCCUUCCCCUCCUUCCCCUCCCUCCCCUGCCCAUCAGGCCAUCGCUCACCGACUCCGACAUGGCCUCCCGCCGCUCCACCAGGCGCGCCUUGAGCUCGUUCUGGCGCUCCUGCCACCAGGCAAUGGUCUGGCUGCCCUCGCGGGGCGCCACCGGCGCCGGCUCCUGCAGGCCCAACUCCUGUGGGGGGCAGGGAAGCAAGGGGGGGUGGGGCAGGGGCAACACCGUGUGGAACGGAAACACCCGGACAUGGGUAGCUGUGAGAGGAGAGGACGUAUCCCUUGCACCUGUGCGGUGCACGUAACACCACGUGGUCCCUCCCACCCCUGCUUCACAGUCUCCGUAGCGCUGCCACGCUCCCGCACCACUGGCCCCCACCGGUAUGUGUGUGUAUGUGUGUGUAUGAACACCGCCCCGCUCUCCUAGCCCGGUCCCUUCACGCGCCCGCUGUGCCUCCGCCUGCCCCGCGACCAAUCCGAGACCUAGUCGUCGUGCUGGCGUAAAAGGACGCCCCCUACGCCGGCCCCUUUUCCCUGAUAUCACACAGGUGCGCUAACACAUCCCUCUCCCUCACUCCCUCUCCCUCACGCUCCCCGGCGCUCACCUCCAUCAGCUGCGCCUCCGUGAGUGCGCCCUGGUUCACCUUGAGGAUGGCCUCCUCCUGCGAACAGGCGGCAGGCGGCAGGGGCAGCAGCAACAGCCAGCGAUGAGGGAACCCCAGGACCAGAUUGAUUCUCCUUACUCGUCAAACAAGCUCUCUCUCACCCGUGCCCCUCCCACCACCGCCCCUCCAACUACGGCCCCUCCCACCACCGCUUCUACCACCACCGCCCCUCCCACCGCCGCCCCCUCCCACCGCCGCCCCUUCCCCUCCACCCCGGCACCCAGCUCUCACCAUUGACGCCAGGCCCGCGUCCUUGGCCGCCUGGCCCAGGCUCUUGCCUGCCGCCGUGAGCGCCGUGCUGGUGGCGGCGGCGGCGGUGGACACGGUGGCCUCGAAGCUGCCGCUGAGGCUGUGCUGCAGGCUGGCGGUGCGGCCGGGGGCCGACGUCAGCCAGGGGUGGGCCAGCACCGCGGCGGCGGAGGGACUGCGGGGAAAGGGCGCGGUGGGGGUUAGUGGGAGGGCUUACGAAGGAGUCAAGGGGCGCGGGUGGCAUCGGGAGCACGCAAGGCCGUGCUGAGGUUCCAAGUCACAUACCGUACCAUUGAGGCAGCCCUGUAUGCCUUGGCCUCCAUCCUGCCCUGGGUUCACCCUGCUGUAAUGGAGUGCCCUCCAUGAGCGCCCUCCCUGUCCGCCUCCCCUCCUCCUCCCCCCUCUCCUCCCCCCUCUCCUACGACUUCGCUUCUUAAUUAAUCAUGAAUGUAACCCCCCUCUCCUCCCCCCUCUCCUCCUUCUUCACCUCCUCCUCCACCUCCUCCGCCCCACUCCUCCCCCUCCCCCCUCCCCCCUCCCCCCUCCCCCCUCCCCCUCCCCCUCCUCCUCCCCCUCCUCCUCACCGGUCCGUGGGCUUGUACGCCAGCAGGCGCAUCAGCAGGUCCCAGCCCGCGCCGCCGUCCGCGUCCAGCGCCUCAAAGCCCGCCUCCAGCGACUCGGCCAGCGCCCCCUUGGCGGAGGGCAGCUUGGCCUCCUCCUCGCGACGCCAGGCCGGCAGGUCCCACUUGAGCUCCUGGGGGUUGGCGGGAGAGGCGGGUGGGUGCGGCGGUGGGCGAUGAGGGGAGGGGGAGGGGGAGGGCGCCAGGCGGGAGUUCCCGUGUGCUGGGGAGGGCUGCUUUUUCCCACCCUGCGUUCAUGUGCCGGUGCGCGGAUUCCACACGCACGCUCUUCCGCUGCACCGUCGCCCCCAUCCCAGGCCCCGACCCCAUGUAUCCCCUCUAUCACGCCUCAGACACCCGUUGCACCACCACCAACACCACCUCCCCGCCGGCCCGCUCCCAUCCCCUCCAUCUCCCCCUACGCCCACUGCUCCAACCUCCCACCCACCACACACACUUAUACACACACACACACACACACACACACACGCCCACGCCCACCGCACCUGCAGCCGCUUGUUGAAUGCGAUGAGUGCGUUGUCGUUGCGCAGGUGGCCGAACACCAUCUGCAGCAGCGUGAUGCCGCAGCUGUACAUGUCGAAGCGGUCCGGCUUCUCCAUGGUCCACAGGAUGGGGCUCAGGAAGGCAGCCACGGGCUUGGGCGGCGGCUUGGGAGUCUGCGAGAGGUGAGGCGCGUGAGAGGGAGGGAGGAGGGAGGGAGGGGGCGUGACGGAGGCGUGAGUAGGCGCGGGGGAGGGAGGCGUGAAGAACCAGUGCGAGGAGGAGGGAUGGGCAGGUGUGGGUACUGCCGCUAUCACACUCUCCCACGACGACGCCGCGCACCUGCGUGCUCAUGAUGUACUGCUGCGGCGGCGCGUACCGCGGGUCCAGCAGGUACUCGUUGGGCACGUAGUUGAUGCCGAUGCGCAGGUCGGCGGCGGCGCCCAGGUCAAUCAGCUUGAUCUUCUUGUCGCGCUCGCUCACAAUGCAGUUGGCGGGCUUGAUGUCGCGGUGCACGAUGCCUGUGCGGCGUGUGUGUUUGUGCGUGCGUGUUAAAUGCGUGCAUGUUUCCUUCAACCCUGCACGCCCCCAACCACCUUCAUCCCCUAUGACUUGGGCUUCGGAAUGAAGUGCUGCCCUCCUCCAUCUCCACCUCCGGUCCACACCCCCUUCCACCCUCCCCUCCCUCAGCACCUCAAAUUUGUAAUUUAACCACUCCGUUCCCAUCCCCAACGGCUACAAACCCCCCUUCCCCUCCGCACCCCACCUCCCCCCAGCCCGGCACUCACCCACGGAGUGGCACGCGGCCACCGCCUGCACCAGCUGCCUGAAGGCCUCCUUGAUGGUCACCAGCUCGCGCACGGGGCCGCGGGGCGCGCGCAGCUCGCGGCCAAACAGCAGUGGCUCCAGGUUGUAGGGCCACUCGCGGCGCUGGGGUAGGAGGGGCGGGAGCGGAAGAGUUGGGGUGUGCGUGUGUGCAGCCGCCCAUGGCCGUGCCCAUCUCCACCUCCCCACUUCUCCAGGACAGCCCCAGUACCGUACGUCCCACUAACGUUCCCGUUCGCUCACUGUUGCUGGCCCAGCCCCCCAUUCUGCCCCAGCCCCCCAUUCUGCCCCCUCCCUUCCCUCUGCCACCUCCCCCCACCGCUCCGCUCCCCCUCCCCCCACUCACCUCCAUGAGGCUGCUGAGUGUGUUGUCGCCCUCGUACACCCACACCAGCCAGAUGCUGUUGGCGUCCAGCGGCGAGGUGGGCUGCACAGGCGCGGCUCGCUUGCCGGCGGCUGCGACAGGGAGCCGCGAGGAGGGUAGAGAGGGAGGGCGGAAGGGAGUCGGGAGAGGCGGACGGUGCGGGGAAUCAGGCCCGCGUGAGUUGCAAGGCGUGGCAGUGUUCACGGCUUCACGGCGCCCUUGCCCGCGCCGGCCUCUCGCACGCCAUGUAGCCGUGCCUCCCACCCGGUCACCCAGCCCCCAUUCCUGUCCUGUCCCGUGCCACACGUGCGCAUACGCCAUUCACUGUACAGCCCCUCAGCAGCACCGCUCACCCACCACUCCCUCAUGCAGCACCCAUGCAGCACCAGCCGCAACUCCACCUUCCACCCGCGCGCCCCUGCCCCACACCGCGCAAUUUGCGCCACGCCGUUUGCCCCACGCCAUUUGUCCAAGACUCCCACUCCCAACCACCCACGCCCGCGCCACCACCACACACGCACCGGCGGGCAGCGGCACGUUGAGCGACUCGUCAAAGGCGGUCACGAACUCCGCCACGUGGUGCCCGGCCACCCGGCUCAUGCGCUCGUUCAUCCACACCUCGGCCUCGCCAAACUCCUUGGCCUGGUGGGGGGGGGGGGUUGCGGAGGCGCGUGUGGCACAGCCGUGUCGGUGGGUGAGGUGAGGGGUUGGGCGUAGGGAAAGACCUGAGGAUGCGGGGUUGGCCGGCACGCACACAUGAUGCACUUGGCAUCGUGCGUGGGGCUGCCCGGCCGGAUGCGAGCUGCUGCUGCUGCCGCGCACCCCGCCUGCACGCCGGAGUCAUCCAGCACCACCACACAUUGCGCCUGCAGUGCCGGCCCCCCUCCUGCAUACGGCGUGCCCUCACUACACACGGGCAUCUACACCCACUGUGUGCGUCCUUGUAGUGCUGCCACACACUUCAACUGGUUUUGCCCUUUCCUGCUCAACACGCCACGCCACGCCACCAACCAUACCCGCCCUACCUUCUUGAUGAUGAUGGACGUCUUGACUCCGCCCUCCUCCUUGAGCUCCCCCUUGAACACGGUGCCGAAGCCGCCCGUGCCCAAGCGCUUGCCCAGGACAAUGUCAUUCUGUAGCAGAGGGGGUUGGGAGUGCGGCGGUUGGUUGGGACGGUAGUUGGGGCGGAAGGACGAAUGAGCAUAGGGAGCGAGGGACGGAGCGCGGGAGGCAACAGCCGGGGGAGGGAGGGAGGGAGUGCGGGAGGGGGAGAGAACGUGCGUGGGUGUUGCAUGCAAAUGGCGGGAUGCAGAUGAUGCAGGGAUUGCAGGCGAGAGCAGUGAGCAGUUUAUGCCCACGCAACAGCGCCGAUACAGGCCGACAUAGGGUGUACAUCGUUGGCAUGACUGUCCGUCUGGCGUCCUUGUAUGGGGCACGCAUGCAGUUGGGUGGCGAAUGCAGGCACGAAAGGCAGGGUGCCGAGCACGCGCAAGUCAGGCGCCUUGACGCGCAGGUCUUCCGUCGCUGAAAGACGCAUACUGCGCAUGAGAAGCUUACUUUGUCAAUGGCCUUGGUCUGCUUGCGCUUGAGGGGCGCGCGAAUGUAAUAGUCGAUGGCGCCUGGUAGCACGCCUGCACGAGAAAUGACCAACACAGAUCUCGCAAAUAGCUGCAUCAAUACGUGGUAUGUGCCAAGCAUGACAUAACAGGGCCAGGCGGCCUCGCGGCACAAAGUUUGGCGGUGACGUGUAAAUUCGGAGGUUCCAUGAGUGCAGAAAGCCCCGACAGCGCCUCGCCUUGUGCACGCGCGCACCACGCCACAAAGUGCUUAUCAAGUACGUAAUGCGCAUGCAGCGACCGAGCCCUACCCGGUGGGAGGAAGAGAUACGCAAGCACGGGGGCCAACAGCGCGACAGUCUUCUCGUCAAAGCCGGCCUCGUUGUAGAGGGACGGAUCCAGCGUACUGCACAGCGCAUCAAUGCAAAGGACGGCUUCAGUGUGGGCGUAAAUUGGCUCCAACAACCCGAACACGAUGAGCCCUCGCUGUCGAACUGCUUGUGCGCACCUGCGGUAGACGAUGUCACCGCACUUCAUGACUUGACACGGUGCUGCAAUCUGCUCCAGCGGGAGGUUUGGCACCAGGGCGCUGAGCGCAUCGAUGAACUCGGGUGUCGCUCGCGCCGGCACGCCUCGCCGCUGGCCCGGCCGCCGCUGCACAAGUAGGCAUGACCCAACAGGCUGCGAUGUCGAUGCUCCUGUAGACCGCUCAAUGCGGCAGGAAACUUGGCGCUGGGCCAGAGCCAUGUCGGUGGCUUUGCAACAAGCGCGCUAUGUGUGUCUUGGUUCGUGCUGGCUUUCUAAGGUAGCGAUGAUUUGUUUGCAGGCAAAGAUUGCGACUAAAACUACAGGACAGUCGGGGCAACAGAACGAGCCCCAAUUUGCAAUCGAUUUUGCAACGACCGGCCCGGUGCAUGGCGCGGAACCUCCCGCCUGCUCAAACGUGCAUACAAUACACGUUCUAUUCCUUACACGUCCAGCGCAAACUUUAGGAGCGAGGGCUGGAAAGAGGCCAAGACAGCUGGACACCAUCGUACAUUUUCUGCCGUUUUGGUGGGCUUGAGCACGCCAUAUCGUGCCUCCCACAGUCCCAUCCCGCCUUCACGUCGCCGUACCGCUGCUGUGCCUCCCGCACCAUCGGCACCCUACCUCUGACCGCACAGCUUCCGCUCAUGGCGCCAGUCCUGCAGCUGACAGGCCAUCUUCCCCACAAAGCCAGCCAGCCCAGGGGUGGGCGCCGCAACCGACCGCCGCACAGGGUCCCAAGCUCCUGCAGCCCAUGCCAUCCCAGCGUAUGCACAGGUGUGCAUAAAGGAAAGGUAGCGACGUAGCGUGACUAGCGUCAUGAGGAGCCCAGCCUGUGCACACCCGCCUGGUCAAAGCCAGAUGCGAGCGAGGAACACACACACACACGGCUAGUCGUCACUGACACACAGGUCCACCACCUCCACCUUCACCUUCUUCACCAGAUUUUCCUCCGCCUGUUUGCCUGUUUGCCUUUUAGUGCGUCGCCAGUUGCUCAUCUCUUGCACAGCGGAGGUCUGCUGGCUCCCCACCGCAGCGACCCCUGGACUGCCGCACCCCGGCAGCACACAUGGCCCUGUGCCCCUGUCGGCUCUGGCAUCUUGCCCGCCGCUGCCGCCGCCGCCAUGGGGUCGACGCCGAGCUCGCCGCCGAUGCAGUAGCCGCCGGCGACGGCCGUUUCACGCCCAGCCUCCUCAAGGUCGGCGCCUCCCGGCUGACCGGCAGCGGGGUGUCUCCCUCGGCUGCGCCCCGCAGCAGCGUCCUCCGGACUCCACUAGAACCGCUUCGCGUAUGGCAAGUGCAGCGCGGCAGAGGCGCGCGAAUAGACUCGGCAGCUGGGACUGGGAGAGUCGCCAGUUCAGCUCCGCGCGGGGACGCAGCCUGGCGCCGCCCAGCGACGCGCGCAGCAGCAGCCCGGCGCGCUAUCGGCCCGCCAAGAUCAGACGCGAUGAGCGGCACGGCCGAUGGCGCCGAGUUAAGCUAUCACCACGCCCAGAGUUCCGGCCAGUUGUAAUGGUUUUACGGUUUGCAGCAGAUGGUCCCACCAUAGCCCUCAGUACUCGUCACCCCAGCAUCAUGGAUGCCGAUGUCUGUCCUCAGCAUCCACCUAAGGCGAUAGUCGCGCGGAGCACGCGAUGUUGUAGUAUGUGAUCCAUUUCGGUGUAAG